CCCUGGUCAGCUCACUUGGUAGAGCGCUCCACUGGAAAUGAAGAAAUCUCGGGUUCGAUACGCGGACCAGGCG
rnacentral:tRNA from 2 species